UACGAAGGGGGCUAGCGUUGCUCGGAAUUACUGGGCGUAAAGGGCGCGUAGGCGGACAGUUUAGUCAGAGGUGAAAGCCCAGGGCUCAACCUUGGAAUAGCCUUUGAUACUGGCUGUCUUGAGUACGGGAGAGGUGAGUGGAACUCCGAGUGUAGAGGUGAAAUUCGUAGAUAUUCGGAAGAACACCAGUGGCGAAGGCGACUCACUGGCCCGUUACUGACGUUGAGGCGCGAAAGCGUGGGGAGCAAACAGG
rnacentral:rRNA from 1 species